GUCUCUUUGUGGUAUAUAGAUAAAGAGUCGGGCCUGCUCGGUGAAUAAGUUUUUAACAGCUGCGGUAUUUUAACUGUACUAAGGUAGCAUAAUAAUUUGCCUUAUAAUUUGAGGCUAGAAUGAAUGGUUUGACGAAGGUUAAUCUGUCUCCAUCUUAUUUUUUAGAAUUUAAUUUUUAGAGUGAAAAAGCUUAAAUUUUUUAAAGGGACGAGAAGACCCUAAUGAGCUUAUAAUUUUAUUAUUAUUGUUUAAAGUAUUUGGGUAAUAAUAUAUAAAUUUUAAUUGGGGUGAUUGAGGAAUAAGUUGAAUAAGGUAACUUCCUUAAAUUAAAUGUUUAUAGAUAAAGUAACCAAUGUAAUAUUGCUUAUAGUAUAGCUACCAUAGGGAUAACAGCGUAAUUUGUUUAGAGAGUUCUUAUUGAAAAACGAGAUUGCGACCUCGAUGUUGGAUUAAAGUAACCUUAAGGUGCAGAAGCUUUAGAAAGGUAAAUCUGUUCGAUUUUUAAUACUUUACA
rnacentral:rRNA from 1 species